UGAAAGCGCCCGGCUCAACCGGGCGAGGUCGUGCGAAACUGCUAGGCUAGAGGCAGGGAGAGGCGCGUGGAAUUCCGGGUGUAGUGGUGAAAUGCGUAGAGAUCCGGAGGAACACCAGUGGCGAAGGCGACGCGCUGGGCCUGGCCUGACGCUAAGACGCGAAAGCAUGGGGAGCGAACGGGAUUAGAAACCCCGGUAGUCCUAGCUGUAAACGAUGGAUGCUAGAUGUAGGGGGUAUAGAUUCCCUCUGUGUCGGAGCUAACGCGUUAAGCAUCCCGCCUGGGAGUACGGCCGCAAGGCUAAAACUCAAACGAAUUGACGGGGGCCCGCACAAGCAGCGGAGCGUGUGGUUUAAUUCGAUGCUACACGAAGAACCUUACCUAGGCUUGACAUGUAGGUAGUAGUGAAGUGAAAGCGGAUCGACCCUUCGGGGAGCCUACACAGGUGCUGCAUGGCUGUCGUCAGCUCGUGCCGUGAGGUGUCGGGUUAAGUCCCGUAACGAGCGCAACCCUUGCCCUUAGUUAUACGUGUCUAAGGGGGCUGCCGGCGGUAAGCCGGAGGAAGGUGAGGAUGACGUCAAGUCAGCAUGGCCUUUAUGUCUAGGGCUACACACACGCUACAAUGGUCGGUACAAUGGGUUGCCAAGCCGCGAGGUGGAGCCAAUCCCCUAAAGCCGAUCUCAGUUCGGAUUGCAGACUGC
rnacentral:rRNA from 1 species